ACUAAUUAUAGCAGACAUGUUUUCAGGAUGGCCAGAGGCCUAUCCAGCCACCAAAGUGAUAACCAAGACCACAUGCUGAGUAGUGCACCGUGAAAGUUACAGAGAUCACCCCGUGGAUUCAUCAUUCCAGAAUCAAGCCUGCCUCUGCAUCAUGUGAAGUAGCAUUUGUUGAUCUUGACAACCCUUUUUGAAACUCCAUUCUUAGAGAACAAAGAUACUUGUUGAAAAAAUAAAUAAAUAUCAACAAGUGGGUGUUUUGAUGGCCAUAAUAAUGCCUGAC